rnacentral:rRNA from 1 species
UUUUCUGCCACCGAAUACAUUAGCAUGGGAUAAUGGAAUAGGACCCUGUCCUCCUAUUUUCAGUUGGUUUUGGCAGCGCGAGGACUAGGGUAAUGAUUAAUAGGGAUAGUUGGGGGCAUUAAUAUUUAAUUGUCAGAGGUGAAAUUCUUGGAUUUAUGAAAGAUUAACUUCUGCGAAAGCAUCUGCCAAGGAUGUUUUCAUUAAUCAAGAACGAAAGUUAGGGGAUCGAAGACGAUCAGAUACCGUCGUAGUCUUAACCAUAAACGAUGCCGACCAGCGAUUAGGAGACGUUGAAUACAAAACACCACCAUCGGCUGCGGUCGUCCUUGGCGUCUGUCCCUUUCAACGGGGGCCGGCGCGGGGACGGCUUAGCCCGGUGGCACCGGUGAAUGACUCCCCUAGCAGCUUGUGAGAA